ACGCUGGCGGCGUGCCUAAUACAUGCAAGUCGAGCGAAGUUUUUCUGGUGCUUGCACCGGAAAAACUUAGCGGCGAACGGGUGAGUAACACGUAAAGAACCUGCCUCAUAGACUGGGACAACUAUUGGAAACGAUAGCUAAUACCGGAUAACAGCAUUAACUGCAUGGUUGAUGUUUAAAAGUUGGUUUUGCUAACACUAUGAGAUGGCUUUGCGGUGCAUUAGCUAGUUGGUGGGGUAAAGGCCUACCAAGGCGACGAUGCAUAGCCGACCUGUGAGGGUGAUCGGCCACACUGGGACUGAGACACGGCCCAGACUCCUACGGGAGGCAGCAGUAGGGAAUCUUCCGCAAUGGGCGAAAGCCUGACGGAGCAACGCCGCGUGAGUGAAGAAGGAUUUCGGUUCGUAAAGCUCUGUUGUUAGGGAAGAAUGAUUGUGUAGUAACUAUACACAGUAGAGACGGUACCUAACCAGAAAGCCACGGCUAACUACGUGCCAGCAGCCGCGGUAAUACGUAGGUGGCAAGCGUUGUCCGGAAUUAUUGGGCGUAAAGCGCGCGCAGGUGGUUUAAUAAGUCUGAUGUGAAAGCCCACGGCUCAACCGUGGAGGGUCAUUGGAAACUGUUAAACUUGAGUGCAGGAGAGAAAAGUGGAAUUCCUAGUGUAGCGGUGAAAUGCGUAGAGAUUAGGAGGAACACCAGUGGCGAAGGCGGCUUUUUGGCCUGUAACUGACACUGAGGCGCGAAAGCGUGGGGAGCAAACAGGAUUAGAUACCCUGGUAGUCCACGCCGUAAACGAUGAGUGCUAAGUGUUGGUCUCAUAAGAGAUCAGUGCUGCAGCUAACGCAUUAAGCACUCCGCCUGGGGAGUACGACCGCAAGGUUGAAACUCAAAGGAAUUGACGGGGACCCGC
rnacentral:rRNA from 1 species